CCUACGUGAGGCAGCAGUGGGGAAUAUUGCACAAUGGUGGAAACCCUGAUGCAGCGACGCCGCGUGAAGGAAGAAGUAUUUCGGUAUGUAAACUUCUAUCAGCAGGGAAGAAAAUGACGGUACCUGACUAAGAAGCCCCGGCUAACUACGUGCCAGCAGCCGCGGUAAUACGUAGGGGGCAAGCGUUAUCCGGAGUUACUGGGUGUAAAGGGAGCGUAGGAGGUGAUGCAAGUCAGAAGUGAAAGCCCGCAGCUCAACUGCGGGACUGCUUUUGAAACUGUAUGACUAGAUUGCAGGAGAGGUAAGUGGAAUGCCUAGUGUAGCGGUGAAAUGCGUAGAUAUUAGGAGGAACACCAGUGGCGAAGGCGGCUUACUGGACUGUAAAUGACGCUGAGGCUCGAAAGCGUGGGGAGCAAACAGGAUUAGAUACCCUUGUAGUC
rnacentral:rRNA from 1 species